CAAGCGAAGCGCCUGUAUUCCAAAUAUGUUUAAGAAACAGUCGGGACAAACUGGACUCAGCGCAAUAGUGAUCAAUACUUGAACUGUCGGCGUGACAUCUCCCCCAAGUGCUGCGCCGAUGAAGGUACCAAAGGACCGCGUACCUUUGUUUUACUCCUAAUGGUCUUAACCCGGAUUCACCCCCCAGAACCCGG
rnacentral:sRNA from 1 species